GACGAACGCUGGCGGCGUGCCUAAUACAUGCAAGUCGAGCGCAGGAAACCAGAUGACCCCUUCGGGGUGAUUCUGGCGGAAUGAGCGGCGGACGGGUGAGUAACACGUGGGCAACCUGCCUGUAAGACUGGGAUAACUUCGGGAAACCGGAGCUAAUACCGGAUAGUAUUUCCUUUCUCCUGAUUGGAAAUGGAAAGACGGUUUCGGCUGUCACUUACAGAUGGGCCCGCGGUGCAUUAGCUAGUUGGUGGGGUAAUGGCCCACCAAGGCGACGAUGCAUAGCCGACCUGAGAGGGUGAUCGGCCACACUGGGACUGAGACACGGCCCAGACUCCUACGGGAGGCAGCAGUAGGGAAUCUUCCGCAAUGGACGAAAGUCUGACGGAGCAACGCCGCGUGAGCGAUGAAGGCCUUCGGGUCGUAAAGCUCUGUUGUUAGGGAAGAACAAGUACGAGAGUAACUGCUCGUACCUUGACGGUACCUAACCAGAAAGCCCCGGCUAACUACGUGCCAGCAGCCGCCGUAACAC
rnacentral:rRNA from 1 species